AAAAAAAAAAAAAGGCUGCAGGGCAAAGACAGAGGUCUGUUUCCUGCCCUCAAGCGCUAACUACAUAGUGGGAGAGACAAAGCCCCCGGGACUUCCAGGUGGAUCCCAGGCAGUUUCCUCUGGAGGGAAGUGGGAUGCGAUCCCCCUCACCUGCUCUCCCUGCCUUCCCCUGCUGCUCGGGAGCUUCUUGGUCCCCUGGCUGCUGGCGGAAGGCACCUAGAAAGUCACUAGGACAGCCUGGUGGGGAUCGGCCUUACUCCAAGAACCGCCCUCUUCCAGCCCCCAUGCACCUUGCCCUGCCCUGCCCAUGUGAGCAGGACGAUCUGCAGUACCACUGAGCAGGAGGGCAUACUGGCACUGCCACUGUAAGCCUCAGGUUUUCUGGGGCUGUCCCAGUUUGCUUUGAUUUGGUUCAUUUCAACAAAGGCAGUUCAUUAACGUAAAGUGUUUUUAUAAAUAAAUCAUCUUCCGUCAGCCCCUGUGCCCUGAGUUUUAGUUUGGGAGAUGUGGCCACGAUGGGCACACAUCAGAUGUGCUCCCCUGUUUGGGCCACUGAGGCUGCCUGAUGUCUUUGAAGCUUUGGGCCACCGCUUAUCUAAACAGCUAAUUAAAAUGAGGUUGAGUUACCGUGAGCCCAGUCCACACCGCUCAGAAGAAAGCUCAUUUGUGCAUAAUCACUGAGGGUGUCCUCUAAUUGGCAGGGUUAGGGCUCAUUUCCGCCAGAGCGUGGAUGCAGAAAUCACCUGGCGCUCUCCUGCCCGGCUCCUGGCAUUGUCUGUGGCAUCCCGGGAACGAUCAGGGUUGGCGAUGAGUUGGUGCAAACCUGAUCCCAGAAGGGGCAGGCUGAUGCGUCUUGUGGGGCUGCUGGCCUCUGAUCAACAAAGACCGAGGGUUGCUGCUCCGGGCACGGAUCUCAGUCAGCCCCACCAUCUGGGCACUGCGGUCUGUGCCUCAGGCUGGAGGCAGGUGGUUCAGAAAUGGCUCUUGUUACCUGCUGGCCAAUGGGGCGUGCCCACGAGGGGAUUUCUGGCCUCACAGACCCUGUCCCAAGUGCAGCAAGCCCCUCUCGUCCCUGGAUGGGGACAGAAAUGGAAUGACUGGGGCACCUUAACUCUAGCAGCCUGAAGGAGGUGAUGUGUUUGCCCUGAAACCUGGUCAGCAGGUGAGUGAUAACCACGUACACGGGUUAACAGCUUUCCUUCCAUCAGAAAUGACACCAGUGACUAAAAGGAACUAGGCAGAAAUCAACACUAAGUCAAAUAUUUGAAGGAAGCUGAUAAGUUCGUCCUUUGAGGGCCACAGGCUGUGGGUGGAGAAGACUGAGCAGGGGUGGCAUCCUCAGCCUGCUGGACACCAGGGGAGGCCACCUCUGUCCAUACUCUUCAGUCAUCUGCCAGGAAUAGAGUCGAAAGCGGGCUGUACUCCUAAUAUCGCCGUAUUACCAAGGGGAAAGGUUGGCUUUUGGAUGUUGAAAGAAUAUGGCAAUUUGACACAAACACUCUAAUUUGGUUGGUUUACAAAAGGGCCUUGUGAUGGAAAUGGAAUAUGAGGAGCUCAGGGGACACACUGCAGCCACGUUAAGCAUGAAUUAUGGAUAAGGGAACAGAGUAAGAUGACAGCAGCUUCCAGCUCUGGCCAAAUAGCCGCUUAGGGAACGAAUUACUGCUAGACUUUAACAAAACAAUGCUGUUGUUUUCUGAGCCAGGGGACUGGAAAGUUCUUUUUAAGCUUUGCUAAUGGGAGACAGGUCAUCUGUGGAUCUGAUCCUUGUCAUAGAGCAGUUGAACCUGUCCCCACCUGCCUGCAGUUAACGAGGCUGCGGCUGAACUCUGCUGUGCUGGAAACGGUGCCGUGUGACUGAAGUAGGCUGAUGGAGAGUUAAAAAUACAAGUUGCCUUGGCAAGGCUUUUGCAAACACCUGCCUUGCAGGCUGUCCUCCCACACAGCGACCUUGGGAAAGCCAGGAAGAGCUGAGUAGGGGGAGCCAGGGUGUAACUGCACUCCCCGGGGCACUGGCGGCGUCUCUGUCCUCUUGCAGAAUUUGCACAUGCGGCAGUCAGCAGGGGCUUGGUGGUGGACCAGCCUGGUCCUAGGAGGACUCACGACUCUGAGGAGGACAUAGUGGCUGCUCAGCCCUCUAAUCUGCUUGUUGACCAAGUCAGCAAGGGACUGGGUUCUAGUCUCACAGAGGAAGGGCUGGUGCCCCAAGAGUGGCUCUGAUGGGAUGGCAGUGGUCAAGGGGCCCGCUGAGGAGCUAGCUGCCACGUCUGUCUUAGAGAAACGACAAGGCAGUGUUUGUCCUAGCAUUGGGCGAGGGAAGAAAAGACAUGGCCUGACAGCUCAGCCUGGGGGGACUUCCCCUUCCAUUCCUAGGGAAAUAAACGGCCCCCAGUGCAGAGCAGUCAAACGGCUGCUUCUGGAAGCCCACGCUGGGCAUCAGAGGCCAAAAGUGGGCUGGGGACAACAUGGCACCCGCCAGAGCCCAGCAAGAGGCAAUCUGCCAUCGCACAUUAGAGGCAGCCCUUGUCCAAGUCGCCGCAGGUCCCUGCAGCGGUAGCCAGGUAACCAUCUGGCCUGGCUGCACGGGUGACGCGGGCAGGCCUGUGUGGCUCACAGCACCUCAGCCUGGCCAGCCAGCGCCGUGAGCUCACUGCUGCUGCAGCUGCCGCUCAGAGCGAAGGCUCCGUCAGGCAGUGGGAAACGGCCCUGUUGGAGCCCCUGUGGUGGCUUGCCUGGAAUAGCCGCGGGACAGUUGUCGGGAGAAGGCUGGACCCUCACCAGGGGAAGCCGUUUCUCAGCAACUGUAAACAAAGUGGGUUUGCAGCGGCCAGCGUCUGCCAUCUAACACGUGUGGUGGGAAGCGCUAGCCCCUGAAACGUGGGGCCUGUAGCUCUCAAGAGGGGGGGAUGGGGGUGAAGGACUUCAUCUUGGGGGUGUCAGCCUUCCCUUUCAGAAAGGACCAAGCCCUCUCUUGGGGAAAUUCAGUUUCCCUCUGAUCAGCUGAAACCCUAGCGUUCAGCCAGCGCAGGGAGUUGUGCUUGGUAGGAGAAGGUGACGCCGUCCCUGGAGUAUCUCUGAAACAUAAAUUAUUGCCUGGGCAACAGCAGCACCAGGGUGGCACAUGACUUGGGUUGCAAAACACACUCUAGUGGCAGAGACGAAAUUCUCAGGGGGGCUGUGUAGUCCCUUGGAGAAUCUGAUGCGAGGUAACCACGCUUUUUCCCAGAAAAUGCCCUCAUGCACCAUUUCACACACAGCAGGUCCUUAAAUAGCAUCGUUUUAUUCAAUGUCAUUUUGUUAUAACAUUGAGAAAAAAAUUGAUUCCCGGCUGGGGCCACUGUGUACAGUCUAGACGUCCUCCCGGUCUGAGAGUUUUCUGGGCACUCUGGUUUCCUCCCACACCCCAAAGAUGUGCAAGGUGAGGUUUGUUGGUGUCUGGUUGCAGUCUGAGUGUGUGUGUGGAGGGUGAGUGUGCCCUGUGAUGGGAGGGCAUCCUGUCCAGGGUGGUCCCUGCCUUGCACACUGAGCCGUUGGGAUAGGCUCUGGUCGCCCACCACCUUGAACUGGAAUAACUGAGUUGGAAAAUGAAAGAAGGAAUGAAUAAAAAUUACUGUAAAAUAAAAAUUGCCUCCCAUAACCAUACAAAUGCACAAUAGUAGAUGACGCCGUGCAGAAGUGCCCAGUGAGCCCGUUCAUUCUGGUGUCUGGCCUGCGUGGUGGAAGGAGGUGCUCCUGACAAUUUUUGCUUCGCGAACAUUUAUUCUGUGAUAUAACUCACCGUCGCUGCAGCUGCCAGCACCCAGUCACCAAAAAUUGGGUAAUUACCUUGUUUUUAGUAAUUUUUCUUAAAUGUAUGUAUAACUCAUGUCUACUUAAUGUUUAAUAUUAGAAGUGUUUGCUUUAAAGAAGUUCUAAAGUUUGGUGAUGUUUUUAUGGCCAGCAAUAUGCCGUGGGAACUUAACUCUUGUUUACAUCCAUUAGCCUAUAGUAAAAUUAGUUUCAUUAUACAUCAUUUUGCUUAAAGUUGCCAUUUCUUUUUUUGAGACGAAGUCUUGCUCUGUCGCCCAGGCUGGAGUGCAGUGGUGCGAUCUCGGCUCACCGCAAGCGAUUCUCCUGCCUCAGCCUCCCGAGUAGUUGUGAUUACAGGCACGCGCCACCAGGCCUAAUUUUUGUAUUUUUAGUAGAGAUGGGGUUUUGCCAUGUUGGCCAGGCUGGUCUUGAGCUCCUGACCUCAGGUGAUCCGCCUGCCUCGGCCUCCCAAAGUGCAGGGAUUACAGGCCUGAGCCACCCUGCCCAGCCAAAAUUAGUUUCAUUAUACCCCAUUUUGCUUAAAGUUGCAGUUUCUAAGAAAACCUAUUGAUGACGGUUGGUGAAGAGUUACUGUACCAUGUUGCGGGUCUCCUGGAUCCUGGGCUGGGAGCCCCUGUAGGGGAGAUUCUGGGACAACCCACUUGACUGUGGGUUUACAAAACAACCACGGUGGAAGGUAAGAUUUCAAGGGGGUGGGAAGAGAGCUGGAACCGUGGCAUGCCAGGGGAUUAUCACUGUAUGCCUUGCCCAAGUUAAAAUAACUUGACCAAUAAAUAAAUUCAAAGCAUUUAAUAUUAGAACAACUACGGACAUCAUAAAGCAGAAAGCAAGUCCGACAGUGUUUUGAGAUGCGACAUGAGAUCUUCUGGUGUUUCACCAUCCAGCUCCCCAGGCAGCAUGCUCGAGUAUCUUCUACCUUUAGGGGAGCCGGGGAUGGAGGCGUCCCUGAGAGGGACUAAAGAAGGAAAGUAGAGGAUCAAUUGGCUAAAAACUCAGAACUUGUGAAAGGGUCUGGAUAAAGGUAAGGGGGCUUAAUUUGGAUAAAUGUUGGCUUAUAAAGGAGCAUUUAUCCUUUCCCUGUCAGUGUGAUUGAUUCCAGGAUGUUGAGGUUUGCAGCAGAAAACGCUGCCUGAAGUUGGCGUGCUUGAAGAUCACAGCUUGGGUCCAAAAAAAUUCUCCUUUACAAAACCCAGGCAACUUUCACGAAUGGCAGGCCAUCUCCGCUUAGGAAGUCAUCUGGUUGAAAGGAAGCAGAAAACCCUCCGGUCCAUCUGCGCGCAGGAAGGCGGGGUCUGAAAGAAAGCGCUCUGGACGGGGAGGUGACGCUUCCCAGUCGCAGCUCUAUCUGCUCCAUUCCCCUGUGUAGCUGGAGAUGAAUAUGGAAUGGCUGCGUAUCUUAAGCAAUCUGAAAAACCUUCCAGAACCUUCAUGACGUGAAGGUUCUAGGCUUUGGAGUAAUGGCAAGCACUUCCCGCUGAUACAUACACGUGUGCAACUGAGAGGACGACUCGGUUUUCUCUGGGAUGAGUGUGGACAAACGGUUCCCAUGUGGUAGGUACUUCUCCUGCAUCCUCAGGUACCUUUUCUCUUCCUCACAGACCAUUGUACCUUUUUGUUUUAUCAAGAGUUGUAUAUUUUGUCUUUUUUUUUUUUUUUUUAAACUGCUUUUGGGCUGGGUGCAGUGACUCACACCUGUAAUCCCAGCACUUUGGGAGGCCGAGGCAGGAGGAUCAUUUGAGGUCAGAAGUUUGAGACCAGCCUGGCCAACAUGGCAAAAUCACCCGUCUAUACUAAAAAUACAAAAAUUAGCCAGUUGUGGUGGCGGACGCCUGUAAUCCCAGCUACUCGGGAGGCUGAGGCAGGAGAAUUGCUUGAACCCAGGAGGCAGAGGUUGCAGUGAGCCGAGAUCAGGCCAUUGCACUCCAUUCUAGGUGACAGAGCGAGACCCCACCUAAAAAAAACAAAACCUGCUUUUGGCUUUACAUUAACUGUUGGUUUUUGAUUCUGUUGAUGUCUGUUUUUAUCCUGAUUUAACCCCUGCCUUCUGCUGCUUUGGGAUUGCUGCUCCCUUUUCUGAGCUGAGGUGCCAGGCCCUCCCAGCCCCUCCCAGCCCCAUCCCCUGGGUUUUGUAUUGUGUGCUUUUACUGUCAGCCCAGUCUAGAGAGUUUAUAGUUUGUUUUUAUUAACCUCUUUAAAUCCAAGUAAAUUCAGGAGUGUCUGGAAUUGUCUUAUUUUGCUUUUUGUUGAUUUCUCACUAUUCUGCAUUGGGGUCAAUUCCUAGAAAAGCAGGGCCCUGCCUGAGGGUACAGCCCAUAGGGUGCAGUGUCUCGCGGUUGGGGGGUUCUAUAAUUUGGCCUGUAUGGUGUGAAUCUUUGUGCAUCUGAGCUGUUCUUUGUGGCCUUCGUACAGGGUGGUUUUUUGUGCAUGGUCUAUGUGUAUUUGAAAUUCCAUAACGCAUCUACUGGAUCCAGCCUGUUAGCGAUAUUAAGUAAAUCCUCCAGAUCUUUACAUUUUUCUCACUGAUUUGCCUGCCGUUAGAAUGGAUUUUAUUUCUCUUUGUAGUUCAGUCAGUUUUUGCUUUGAUAUUCUGACGGUAUAUUAGGUGGAUGCUGUUGCUGUUUAGAACUGUUGAAAAUCAAGAGUAAGGCAAUGGCUUGCUUCCAGAAUACUUUGGAAAUGGCAGCUGUGUAUCACACUGAACAGUCCUCUCCUGUCCUGUUUCAUUUUGAUGGCUGUUUAGUCAAUGAAUAUUUAGAAAAUAUUUGCUUUGUAUCACAUAUCACAGACACAAUAGUAAGCAAAAUAGUCACCAAUGACUAAACUGUAUAAGUAUAUAAUUAUAAGCCAUGGUAAAAGCUGUGAAGAAAAAGUACGGCUCUACCAGCUUGCUACUGGAAGGUGGUGGUGGCAAAUGUCACAGAAGAGCACCCUAAGUAAAUACAGGGAAAAGGACAUGGAGGUUAUUGCCUUGGAGGCCAGGGACAAGCACAUCCAAAGGCCCUCAGAGGAAAAGAGGUAAGGGGCUGGAGACCGAAAAGGCGGCCUGCAGGGCUGGAGCUGGGAGGGCGGACACAGAGAAGCUGGCUAAGCAGAGACCGUAUAGGACCACGCAGCGUGAUCCCUGAGGCGUCCUGAGGGAGCUGAGGCCAGGGUGGCUGGCUGGGUGGGGAAGGAGGC